rnacentral:lncRNA from 1 species
UUGACAAAUUCGCAAGUGUACCAAAUCGUACAAGUAAUAUAAAUGGUAAUACCAAGUAUCGUUUUUCCCAAGAGACUCGUAUGGCUUUCUCGUUCGCGUGAAUUAAAAUAAAAAGACUUGAAAAAUAAAAAUUAAUAAAUUGGAUUUGAGAACAAAAAUAUUAACAUGCAAAAAUAAAGUUGAUUCAAUUGACAAACGAAAACAAUGGAGGAAUGGAUGUUGUUGGGGGUUUACAAUUUCAUCUAUUCCGCUCUCUCUUACAUACUACCCUUGAAUAUUAGAUUGAUUAAUUGUUAUGCGACUUUCUUAGCCUCCCCUUAACCCGAUCCCUCGGUGAAAAGGGUCUAAUAUUAACUACUGGCUUGCUAUCCCUAGCCUCCCCUAGUAAUUAAUACCGCAUUAUAAACAGAAGUUAGCGCAAUUGAUCGUCCUACCCCUAUCCCUAGGUGGUAUUGCAAAAUCAAGAGAUUACUCACCAGUUCAUGUCAUUAUUUCACGUCCCCAUGUCAAUAAAGAUAAACAUCAAUAUACCGAAUGAGUUAAACGAUAAAGGCCUUAAGCAAAGAUGAUAACCCAACAAUAAUCAAUCAAAACAUAUGGAGACCAUAUAAAUAAUCAAGAGAUUCAAUAAGAGAGAGUAUCAAAAGAUUACAUUGUUUCCCCCAACAACAAUAGGGUUUAGUUCACCAUAGUCAUGGUUAAACUAGAUGAAAAAUGGAAGAAGAAUGGAAAAGCAAACCCUAGAUAAGAUGAAAAGGAGCCUAAGCAUCCAAGAGAUCCUCUCCAGAGAGCAAAAUUAGGUCUGGCCGUUCUCCCCUGUCAAAAGAAUGCAUCUAAACUCGCACUAGGGCUAUUUAUAACCAAGAAAAGUAACAAAAUUCAAGCCCAGGCCCAUCUGACAACCGCCCGGGGCCAAAAAUAGCCUCGCGAUGGUUUGCCUCAAGCCGCAGAACCGCCCGGCGCUCUGGUCAACCGCCCGGCGGUUUGGUCAACUUUUCCUGGUUUACUGGUUGACUUUUCUGGUUGACUGGUUGACUUUUCUGCAUUCUGGUUGACUUUUCUGCACUGCAACCGUUUGAUCUUCAACCUUUCUUUCCUUUUCUUGAGUCUAAGACCUUCAUCUUCAACUCCAUUCUUCACUUUCUCAAAUUAGCUACAAAACAAUGCAAAAUAAGCAUAAAAUCGCUAAAAACAACUUUUGACUCUCUCCAGACUCAUUUAUUGAGUUUUGUUUGAUUCUA